rnacentral:tRNA from 1 species
UGAGGUGUAGCUCAGUGGUAGAGCACAUUCCUCCCAUGUAUGAGACACUGGGUUCGAUUCUCAGCACCGUAU